rnacentral:rRNA from 1 species
UGGGGAAUAUUGGACAAUGGGGGCAACCCUGAUCCAGCGAUGCCGCGUGGGUGAAGAAGGCCUUCGGGUUGUAAAGCCCUUUAGGUUGGGAAGAAGUGUAUGUGUUGAUAAGGCAUAUACAUUGACGGUACCGACAGAAUAAGCACCGGCAAACUCUGUGCCAGCAGCCGCGGUAAUACAGAGGGUGCGAGCGUUAAUCGGAAUUACUGGGCGUAAAGGGCGCGUAGGCGGAUAGAAGAGUGUGAUGUGAAAGCCCCGGGCUUAACCUGGGAAGUGCAUCGCAAACGCUCUAUCUGGAGUAUAUGAGAGGGUGGCGGAAUUUCCGGUGUAGCGGUGAAAUGCGUAGAGAUCGGAAGGAACGUCGAUGGCGAAGGCAGCCACCUGGCAUAAUACUGACGCUGAAGCGCGAAAGCGUGGGUAGCGAACA